AUGGGUUGCCUGCGGCGCCGGCCGGAGCCGGCGGCCAUCGACAUCUCGUGGGUGUCGUGCCGGGGCGUCAGGUCGUCGCUCCCGUUCCACACGCCGUGCCUCUACGCCUCCGUCUGCGUGACGCCGUCGUCCGCGGGCAAGAACGUCCGCCGCCGCCGCGUCAAGACCCCCACCGACCGCGCCGGCGGCGAGAACCCCGAGUGGGACGAGCGCCUGCGCCUUCCCCUUCCCGACGACGCCUCGCCGGCGUCAGAGCAGGAAGCCGCGGGGAAAAAGAAGGACGGGCACGUUGACCACGACGGCGGUGUCCUUCUCGUUCGGUUCGAGCUCAAGGCCGAGGUGGCCGUCCUCGGCGACGUGCUCGCCGCGUCGGCCGUCGUGCCGCUCUCCGACCUCGUUGCCGACGGCAGGACGCGCCGCGUGUCCUACCAGCUGGCCGCGUCCGAGGACCGCAGGCAGCCCAACGGCGUCAUCUCCUUCUCGUACGCCUUCCACCACGGAAGCACCGUCGACGACGACCAGGAGGACCGCAGCAGCGACGGUGAGCCCGUAUCGCCCGCUAGCCCGGCCCCUCCCCCGCCGCUGCCUCAGUCGACGGGGUCAUCCUCCGGGAUGUACCCCAUGAUAGACUGGGAGCCACUGGACACGGUCACGUGCUCAAGCUACUACGCUCCUCCAGCUUCGUCGGACACUCAGGCGGAGCCGAUUGCGGUCUACCCACCGUUGUCGGAGACGUCGAGCCGUGGAAUUUACCCGACGGUGGGGGAGUCGGAUAGCAGUUUGUACCCCACAGUAGACUUUGCUCCGGUGACCUGUUACCCGCCGAUGACGGCGCCGUACUACUACGGUGGUGAUUUCGGGUGUCCGGCAGCUCCUGCAUGGGACGGGCGAUGUUUGUACGGUUGA
rnacentral:rRNA from 1 species